rnacentral:rRNA from 1 species
UACGAAGGGGGCUAGCGUUGCUCGGAAUGACUGGGCGUAAAGGGCGCGUAGGCGGAUGGUACAGUCAGAUGUGAAAUUCCUGGGCUUAACCUGGGGGCUGCAUUUGAUACGUGUUGUCUAGAGUGAGGAAGAGGGUCGUGGAAUUCCCAGUGUAGAGGUGAAAUUCGUAGAUAUUGGGAAGGAACACCUGUGGCGAAGGCGGCUCACUGGCCCGUUACCGACGCUCAGGCGCGAC